UAAUACAUUCAAAUCGAGCGGACAGAUGGGAGCUUGCUGGGGGAUGUUUUCCGCGGACGGCUGAGUAACACGUGGGUAACCUGCCGGUAAGACUCGGAUAAGUGCGGGAAACCGGGGAUAAUACCGGGGUUGUUUGAACCGCAUGGUUCAGACAUAAAAGGUGGCUUCGGCUAUCACUUACAGAUGGACCCGCGGCGCAUUAGCUAGUUGCUGAGGUAACGGCUCACCAAGGCGACGAUGCGUAGCCGACCUGGGGGUGAUCGGCCACACUGGGAAUGAGACACGGCCCAGAAUCCUACGGGAGGCAGCAGUAGGGAAUCUUCCGCAAUGGACGAAAGUCUGACGGAGCAACGCCGCGUGAGUGAUGAAGGUUUUCGGACGAAAGCUCUGUUGUUAGGGAAGAACAAGUGCCGUUCAAAUAGGGCGGCACCUUGACGGUACCUAACCAGAAAGCCACGGCUAACUACGUGCCAGCAGCCGCGGUAAUACGUAGGUGGCAAGCGUUUCCGAAUUAUUGGGCGUAAAGGGCUCGCAGGCGGUUUCUUAAGUCUGAUGUGAAAGCCCCCGGCUCAACCGGGGAGGGUCAUUGGAAACUGGGGAACUUGAGUGCAGAAGAGGAGAGUGGAAUUCCCGUGAGCGGUGAAAUGCGUAGAGAUGUGGAGGAACACCAGUGGCGAAGGCGACUCUCUGGUCUGUAACUGACGCUGAGGAGCGAAAGCGUGGGGAGCGAACAGGAUUAGAUACCCUGGUAGUCCACCCGUAACGAUGAGUGCUAAGUGUUAGGGGGUUUCCGCCCCUUAGUGCUGCAGCUAACG
rnacentral:rRNA from 1 species